GACGAACGCUGGCGGCGUGCUUAACACAUGCAAGUCGAACGAAGUGUCGAACGGGUGAGUAACACGUAAUCAACCUGCCCUUCAGAGGGGGACAACAGUUGGAAACGACUGCUAAUACCGCAUACGGAAGGAGGGGAUUGCGUGGGAUUAGCUAGUUGGAGGGGUAACGGCCCACCAAGGCGAAGAUCAGUAGCCGGGCUGGGGUGAGUGACGGCCCCAUUGGGACUGAGGAACGGGCCAGACUCCUACGGGAGGCAGCAGUGGGGAAUCUUCCGCAAUGGACGAAAGUCUGGCGGAGCAACGCCGCGGGGGUGAUGACGGCCUUCGGGUUGUAAAGCUCUGUUAAUCGGGACGCGGUACCGGAAUAGAAAGCCACGGCUAACUACGUGCCAGCAGCCGCGGUAAUAC
rnacentral:rRNA from 1 species